rnacentral:rRNA from 1 species
UACAGAGGUCUCAAGCGUUGUUCGGAUUCAUUGGGCGUAAAGCGCGUGUAGGCGGCUCGAUAAGUCUGCUGUGAAAGUCCAGGGCUCAACCCUGGGAUGCCGGUGGAUACUGUCGAGCUCGAGUCCGGAAGAGGCGAGUGGAAUUCCUGGUGUAGCGGUGAAAUGCGCAGAUAUCAGGAGGAACACCAAUGGCGAAGGCAGCUCGCUGGGACGGUACUGACGCUGAGACGCGAAAGCGUGGGGAGCAAACAGG